AUGCCUGGACAGCUGUGCCUGGCUUACGAUUUGGGAAAACCGAGAACACCUCAGAGAGCACAGCCGGAAGGCAGAAACACACUGAAGCCAUUCUUACUCUUCCUGGGUUGGAGGGGAGUGUGCACAUUUGUUUUUCUUCAUGAAGGCAAGGCUGAGGAGAUCUUCACAGCCCAUACAAAGAAUGAAAGCCACAACAAGAUGGGACCAAGAAGAGAAGGCUUUGUUCAGGCACUGCUAAGCUUUGAACUGGGACAGAGUUGCUUGAGGGCUUUUGUGUAACAGUGAUGGGGGUAAUUUAACCAGUGCUUUAAUUCUUUGUGUACAGCACUGAGUGGCAGAGGGAGGAGUGAUAGAGGAACUGCUCUGUAUCCUCAUCCACAAACAGCCUAGGAGAGAAAGAAUAUGUUUCACUGGUAUGGUGCCAGAGAACACCUGGUCUAAUAGGUAAGGUGCAGCAGCCUUUGUGUUCUGGGGUUGCAUUACCCCAGGGUUACAUGGUGCGAGCUGCUGUGACAUUGCAUUGCUUUACCUUGUCAGAACCAGCUUUGCAGGCUGCCCUAAGAAGAGUCCCAUGUUGCUCAGCAGGACUCAGCCAGCACAGAGGGCUGCACGUAUAGUUCACAUUCCUCUUUCUAGAGCUUCUGCUCUGAGUUUCCAGGGGAAAGUUAUAAAAAUAUGAAUAGGCCUCUCCAGCACCUCACUAUUAGUAGAGCUCACUCUUUACUGUUCAAAGUUCCCUCUUUCUGAGCCAGCCCCAGCACUUGUCUCUCCCUGUUAAGUCCAAGGAGCUAUCAGAAAUCCACUCACUUUUUCCCAUUGCAUUCUGAAGCUGAUAAGUAGGCAGGGGAAAGGCACCUAUCUAACCUAACAGCAGCCUUAGGGAUGGUAUGGCUGAUACUUGCAACACACCCUCUCCCCUUUCCCCCUCCCCCCACCCCCCAAAAAAAACCAAACAAACAAACAAAAAAAAACAGCACAAAAGAAAAUAAGAUGUACUAGCUAUGGCAGAAAACUGUUUUCUGUGUGUUGCACAGAAGGAUUUUUUUUUCCCCACCAGAAAGUCUUGGGCCAAAUUUAAUAAUCUAAAUCUGAGUAUUUCCAGCCUCUGAGAUGGUAAGAGGUCAAAGGCAUGGAUGGCAUAACCUAUUUAUCAGUAAGCUGAGAAUGGUCCAAGCAGUUAUUCUGUUUGCAUAUGUUUAAAGGAAGAGAUUUUGAACUGUAAAUUAAAAUCAUAAGGCGUACCUCUGCCUCACAGGUCUGAAAUAGAAUUUGCAUAGCA
rnacentral:lncRNA from 1 species